CUGGUGUUUGCGUACUUUCGGGGAUACCGUAACCCGCGAAAUUCAAAUUUUGAGCUAGA
ensembl:ncRNA Y48G9A.17 ncRNA